AUUGAACGCUGGCGGCCGGCCUAACACAUGCAAGUCGAACGAGUGGCGGAAGGGUGAGUAAUGUCUGGGAAAAUGCCUUAUGGAGGGGGAUAAAUACUGGAAAAGGUAGCUAAUACCGAAUACAAUCAGAUGUGCCCAGAUGGGAUUAGCUUGUUGGUGGGGUAACGGCUCAACAAGGCGACGAUCCCUAGCUGGUCUGCGAGGAGGACCAGCAACUCUGGAACUGAGACACGGUCCAGACUCCUACGGGAGGCAGCAGUGGUGAAUAUUGCACAAUUGGCGCAAGCCUGAUGCAGCCAUGCCGCGUGUAUGAAGAAGUCCUUAGGGUUGUAAAGUACUUUCAGCGGGGAGGCGUUACCCGCAGAAGAAGCACCGGCUAACUCCGUGCCAGCAGCCGCGGUAAUUC
rnacentral:rRNA from 1 species